GGGGAAUAUUGGACAAUGGGGGCAACCCUGAUCCAGCCAUGCCGCGUGUGUGAAGAAGGCUUUCGGGUUGUAAAGCACUUUCAGUGAGGAGGAAAACUCUGCGACUAAUACUCGUAGGGCUUGACGUUACUCACAGAAGAAGCACCGGCUAACUCCGUGCCAGCAGCCGCGGUAAUACGGAGGGUGCAAGCGUUAAUCGGAAUUACUGGGCGUAAAGCGCGCGUAGGUGGUUUGAUAAGCGAGAUGUGAAAGCCCCGGGCUUAACCUGGGAACGGCAUUUCGAACUGUCAGGCUAGAGUAUGGUAGAGGGUAGUGGAAUUUCCUGUGUAGCGGUGAAAUGCGUAGAUAUAGGAAGGAACACCAGUGGCGAAGGCGGCUACCUGGACCAAUACUGACACUGAGGUGCGAAAGCGUGGGGAGCAAACAGG
rnacentral:rRNA from 1 species